rnacentral:tRNA from 1 species
GGUCGAGUGGCCGAGAGGCUUAGGCAGAGGUCUGCAAAACCUCGUACAGCGGUUCGAAUCCGCUCUCGACCUCAA